CAGUAGCCGCGGUAAUACAGAGGGUGCGAGCGUUAAUCGGAUUUACUGGGCGUAAAGCGUGCGCAGGCGGUUAUAUAAGACAGAUGUGAAAUCCCCGGGCUCAACCUGGGAACUGCAUUUGUGACUGUAUAGCUAGAGUACGGCAGAGGGGGAUGGAAUUCCGCGUGUAGCAGUGAAAUGCGUAGAUAUGCGGAGGAACACCGAUGGCGAAGGCAAUCCCCUGGGCCUGUACUGACGCUCAUGCACGAAAGCGUGGGGAGCAAACAGGAUUAGAUACCCCAGUAGUCCCUGUCUCUUAUAA
rnacentral:rRNA from 1 species